UACGUAGGAUCCAAGCGUUGUCCGGAUUUACUGGGUGUAAAGGGUGCGCAGGCGGGCUCAUAAGUCAGUAGUGAAAUCUCGGCGCUCAACGCCGAAACGUCUUUUGAUACUAUGAGCCUUGAAUAAGCGAGAGAUCCGUGGAAUUCCGAGUGUAGCAGUGAAAUGUGUAGAUAUUCGGAAGAACACCAGAGCGAAGGCAGCGGGUUGGCGCUUUAUUGACGCUCAGGCACGAAAGCAUGGGGAUCAAACAGG
rnacentral:rRNA from 1 species